CUACGGGAGGCUCCAGUGAGGAAUUUUGCGCAAUGGGGGGAACCCUGACGCAGCAACGCCGCGUGAGUGAUGAAGGCUUUCGGGUCGUAAAGCUCUGUCAAGUGGGAAGAACCUAUGCAGUGUUAAUAUCACUGUAUACUGACGGUACCACUGAAGGAAGCACCGGCUAACUCCGUGCCAGCAGCCGCGGUAAUACGGGGGGUGCAAGCGGUUAUUCGGAAUCAUUGGGCGUAAAGGGCACGUAGGCGGCUUGGUAAGUCAGGUGUGAAAGCCCGGGGCUUAACCCCGGAAGUGCAUUCGAUACUGUCAGGCUAGAGUAUGGGAGAGGGAAGUGGAAUUCCUGGUGUAGAGGUGAAAUUCGUAGAUAUCAGGAGGAACACCGGUGGCGAAGGCGACUUCCUGGACCAGUACUGACGCUGAGGUGCGAAGGCGUGGGUAGCAAACAGGAUUAGAUACCCUCGUAGUC
rnacentral:rRNA from 1 species